AAUCCCUUUAAAGAAUGAUGAGGUCGUCGCAACCGCAGGCUUAUUUACUAAACUGAGAAUGGUUGGGAGUUUAAAGUCAGCUCAAAGUGAAUUUCAAAUGUAAUAAGGCCAAAAUAGCUGAAUAGGAAGCAUAGCUGACUGGGGAAUCUUUCCAGUUUCUCUAUUUUGGCCUUAAACAUUAAAUUCCCAAAUCAGACCUCCCAAGUGUCCCUAUUUAGGAGGGACAGUCCCUAUUUUGGGUCCAGAUCCCUCUGUUCUAUCCUAAUGCCCCUCCUUUAUAUAAACUCCAUAUUGUUAGUGCAUCUGAGUGUAUAACAGAGCUCCACAGCAAU